rnacentral:rRNA from 1 species
UGAAGAAAGGCCUUCGGGUUUGGUAAAAGUCAACUUUUUAUCCGGGUUAACGAAAUACCACGGGUUAAUAACCUAUGGGCUGACGUACCGAGGAAUAAGCACGCUAACUUCGUGC